AUUUGUUUUAUAAAAUCUACUUCUACCUGAUUUUCUUAAGAAGAAAGUAGGGUUAUUCGAUUGAAUUUCGCAACAAAUGAUAAAUGUAUAAGACUUAAUGUACCGUAUCAAAUUCGGGUUUUUAACCUAUUGUAUACUUUCACUAUGUCAUGAAUAGGAGAAAAUUAUUAGUAAUAACCGGGACAUGACAAACAUUUGAUCGAUUACAUGCAUGUGUAAGCCUAAAUAUCAAAGUCAGGCCGAUAUUAUCGCGGCUGCUUUUAAAUUUCACGUUUAUCUGAGCAACUUAGAAAAAUAGAAAUCACAAUGUAGCGCAUGUUAAACUACUUCUUAUCUCAUAGCAUUUACGCGUCAGUAUCUUUCACAGGACUAUUCAUACACAAAGCAGUUUACCAAACAUUUCCUGCAUGCUUAAAUCUUACUCAUUCUUGAUAGUGAUAUGACUAAUUGCAAUGAUAAUCAUAACAUACAUAUAACACGAUCCGAAAUCUCUUUUUCACUAUUUUAAAACGAUGCUUUGCCAUAUCAUAUAGAACUGCAAGUACGUACCUCGACUUUUGUCUUUCUUAUUACUUACGAUAAACAAUUAUUAAUGCAUUAUUGUUUCCUUGAGGAAUUGUAUUGAAUUGUAAAUAUCAUUGAAAGAAUGAAAAAAUAUGCAUUAUUGUAAGUUAACACGCAGUUAUAUCUAUUCUUGUCGUGUAACCAAUAUAUAGAAUUCAAUAUUUAACCGCGAACAAAAAUUCUCGUUUUCAUUCCCUCAGUGAAGUUAUGGCGCGAACAAAGCAUUUUAAGGAUGGGAAUAUUAUUGCCGAGAUUCUACUGUUUUGCAUACAAUAGUUUGUUAGGCUAGACAGCUCGGCGGGUAUAUACAAAAAGUCAUGCACAUUGUUUCUCUCUGUUCGCCGCGUAUGAAUACCAAAAGAGAUUAACGAAAUUUAAACUCGCCUUCUUAAAAUUUAUAAUUCCGUGCUGGCGCCCGACUGUUUACGCCCACGCGUCGUUGCCUACAAUGCUACGCGCACAAACACCGUCCGUCUGCCACUUUAAAAACUGUUGACCGCAGAUGCACUAAAUUGUUUCAUUUAACGACCCAAGCAAAGGUUCAAACCUUUCGUUCGAAAGUUUAAUAUCUUAUAGUCAUGACCAUUCUCAAAUGUAAAAACCAAUCAAUUUAACAUUUCGUCAAUCGAUCAUGGAUCAAUUUUAAUUAACAUUAAAUCGAUAUUAAUAUAUAUUAAAGCUUACAUUUUAUAUCUGUUUACAUAAACGAAAUGAACAUGAUUUAGUUAAUGCAAUCAUAACAACCUUGGGAAUUUACAUUUUUGUCGAUGCUUCGAACGAAAUCAGUUUCUCAGGCAAAAACAAUGCCUUUGUUCCGUUUUUCUAUCAGCUGCUGCAUUGCCUUCCUUCUAGUCGUUAACCUUGGCAAGCACAAAAGAGGAUAAAUACCGAACUGCGAUAGAAUAAUUUCAACUUUGACUUCCUGUCCGUUGCAGUAAGCUAGUAACAAAAACUGUUACGUACUCUCGGAAAACAUUCGCCUCCUUGUUCUUAUAACCUCAAAAAGGAUACAAAACAACGAUACUCUGCAUAUCUGCAUACAGUUAUUGCUAUGAAAAUCCGAUUGAUUGACAUUAUGCACACGUACUUAUGUAUGUAGCACGAAAGUUGCAUAUAAUCGCUUUGUUUGCGCGGCCAUCGUGCCAAAUUUAUUAACAGACGUGUUUAUAGGCGCGCGACAUGUAUCCUCUUGUCCGGCGCGUUUUAUCUCGAACGUUUGCAAACAGCGCAAGCGAACCGAAACGCACGUGCGUUUUGCAAGAGGCAACGGGAGCGGGUAUUGACUCAUUUCGUGCAACUUCCACGGCUAUGCUUCGAACUUGCCAGCUGCGACCGAGAGCGGAGUCCAAACGUGCUCGAUUCCUCAAUCUCUAGUUGUAUUAAAAGUUCGCGAUGUCAGCAGUGACGUUAUCUCAGGAGACUUUGUCUGUGUGUUUAUGGAAAGAAUACGCAGCGACUAACAAGCAAAUGCACGUGUGACGACUCGAUUUCGCUUUUGGCGUAUUUCGUUGCAAGAACAGUGCUCGAUACUCUGUACGCUAUUAAAUCUCUGAAGAUUAUACCUGAUUGAUAACUUAUCGUUAAUCGUCUAUUCGUGAGUACAUACAGCGUCUAUUAUCAUGUCAAAAUUGAUGGAUGAGAAAAAUUAAGAAAAAUUAGUCAAUAAAAUGUAUUGAUAGAUCAUGCACGUUAAAUGAAACGGGCAAACAGAAUAAUAAAAGAAAUGUUCUGAGUAUGUGUUUUUAAAUUCGCUGACUAGUAAUCGCUAUUAUUAGUUCCUACCAAAAUAGCUGCUUUUUUAUCCGCGUUAUAUAUCCAGAUAAGAUAAAGGAGAAUAUUUCAACCGUUUGUAACGGUGGAAAAUCGCCUUGUCAAUUUCUAAUUGCGCAUGUGUUAAUAUCAAGAACUCUUCACGAUAUAUGCAUAUCUGGUACGACAGAUGCGUUCUUCUCGUCGUUUUUACAAGGAAGAUCGAUGCGUGAUUUGUUAACCUCGAAAACGCCACGAACAAGGCUUAACCUACAUGUUAACCGAGAAAACCAAGCGAACGUGAAACAGGCAAAACAACGAUUCUCCGUGUAUUCUUCGAGCACAUGUGAGGCAGAUUGCUCCCGCGGCACCGAUUUACGAAACGGCAAUGACAUUCCAUGGCGUCGUAAUUUUUCCAAUCGGGUAACGUUUCAAAUGUGGCCGCUACGUCGAGGCCUUGGCUAUAGGCAGAAGUUAGCUCAAGGACGACGACCGCCUGUCUAUUCGAAUUUCAUCAUGGUGUGAAGCUAAGCAGGUGAAUGUCAGCCCCUUACGCCUCAUGCCCGUAAUGAGACAUAUCUUUCAGGCAUAACGCCGUGCUCAGUAAAUGGACCUGAUUUGGUUAAAAAUAACGAUUAUGUAAAAUGUUAUCAGCGAACAUGAAAAAGGGUAAGUAAAUUCGUAGGCUGAUAGACAGUCUUUAAUUAAAGCUUUUAAUGUUCUGUAUUGUCAUGAUGGAGAUAAUUAGAGUGCAGACGUUUAUGGAUUGGGAAAUUGAAAGAUAAUUGAAAAUGUAAGAUAUCUAAAAAAUCCCAUGUAAUAUUUAGA